CACACACAUAUUAACGAUUUUUUUCAUAGUCUUGAAAUGAUAUUCGAAUGUAUGAAAAAAAAAAGAGAACACGCAUUGCUUCAACAUCAAGUGGUUCGCCUUGCAUUGUAAAAAUGUCAGUGGGUGAGAUUAAAGGUUAAAGUUUUUCGUGAAUUCUCUAAUAUUUGUCUUCAUUAUGCAUACGUGAAAACAAUAACAAAUUGUUAUGUACACUUAUUGAAAAAA